AUAAGCUGCCAAAAGACCAAGCAGUGCGAAGCUCUUGGCUGACAGUGGUGCCUGCUAAUUUCCACUGCAAGGAUUUCGUCCACGAAUGUUAUCAUAGGUUACGCGCGACUCCAGAGGCAAUUUGGAAUCUCGGCACGAAAUCGUCUGAUGAAAAUCUGAGGUGCCCGACGCAUAACAUUUUGAACGUGCCACGGAGGAUCAAGGCAAAAAACGAGAGCAAAAAAUGGUGCACGCUGAAGGCGGAAAUGAAGCAUGAUCUGGCUUGCAUCUGGUCAUGAAGAAAUUGCUGACACGUUAGUUGCAGUCCACCUCCACCAACAGGGUGGAAAACAAAGAUCGCCAUUCCGAUUAGCUGCUAUCUCCCAGUUCAAGCACUUUUGUGUCUGGACACUGGUUCCUGUGGAUGGGGUGGUACAAGCUUUACUGUCUGAUA